rnacentral:lncRNA from 1 species
ACUUGAAAAACUCUCGAGCAUAAAACAAUUUGAAAGGUCAAGUUCUUGUAGCAAAUCCAACUUAAGAGGUGGAAUACUUCUGAGAUUGUGACAAUUUUUAACAAGCAUGGUUUUAAGUUUUCCAAGAAACCCGUCAACCACAAGUGGAAAAUUCUCAAGACUAAAACAACAUGAAAGAUCAAGUGUUUCUAGUGAAUCCAACUUGAGAGGUGGAAUACUCCUGAGACUGAAACAGUUUGUAACAAGCAUGGUUUUAAGUUUUCCAAGAUACUCGUCCACCACAAGUGGAAAACUCUCAAGACUAUGACAAUCUGAAAGUUCUAGUGUUUCCAGUGAAUCCAACUUAAGAGGUGGAAUACUUCUGAGAUUGCGACAACAUUUAACAUUCAGGGUUUUAAGUUUUGCAAGAAAUGUGUCCACCACAAGUGGAAAACUCUCAAGAGUAUCACAACAUGAAAGUUCUAGUGUUUCUAGUGAAUCCAACUUGAGAGGUGGAAUACUCUUGAGACUGUGACAAUUUUUAACAAGCAUGGUUUUAAGUUUUCCAAGAUACUCGUCCACCACAAGUGGAAAACUCUCAAGACUAUGACAAUUCGAAAAUUCUAGUGUUUCUAGUGAAUCCAACUUGAGAGGUGGUAUAAUUCUGAGAUUGCGACAACUCUUAACUUUCAAGGUUUUAAGCUUUGCAAGAAAUAUGUCCACCACAAGUGGAAAACUCUCAAGAGUAUCACAACCUGAAAGUUCUAGUGUUUCUAGUGAAUCCAACUUGAGAGGUGGAAUACUUUUGAGAUUGUGACAAUUUUUAACAAGCAUGGUUUUAAGUUUUCCAAGAUACUCGUCCACCACAAGUGGAAAACUCUCAAGACUAUGACAAUCUGAAAGUUCUAGUGUUUCUAGUGAAUCCAACUUGAGAGGUGGAAAACUUCUGAGACUGCGACAGCUUGUAACAAUCAUGGUUUUAAGUUUUCGAAGAUACUCUUCCACCACAAGUGGAAAACUCUCAAGACUAUGACAAAAUGAAAGUUUUAGUGUUUCUAGUGAAUCCAACUUGAGAGGUGUAAUACUCAUGAGACUGCGACAGUUUGUAACAAGCAUGGUUUUAAGUUUUCCAAGAUACUCGUCCACCACAAGUGGAAAACUCUCAAGACAAUGACAAUCUGAAAGUUUUAGUGUUUCCAGGGAAUCCAACUUGAGAGGUGGAAUACUUCUGAGAUUGCGACAACAUUUAACAUUCAGGGUUUUAAGUUUUGCAAGAAAUGUGUCCACCACAAGUGGAAAACUCUCAAGAGUAUCACAACAUGAAAGUUCUAGUGUUUCUAGUGAAUCCAACUUGAGAGGUGGAAUACUCUUGAGAUUGUGACAAUUUUUAACAAGCAUGGUUUUAAGUUUUCCAAGAUACUCGUCCGCCACAAGUGGAAAACUCUCAAGACUAUGACAAUCUGAAAGUUCUAGUGUUUCUAGUGAAUCCAACUUGAGAGGUGGAAUACUCUUGAGAUUGUGACAAUUUUUAACAAGCAUGGUUUUAAGUUUUCCAAGAUACUCGUCCGCCACAAGUGGAAAACUCUCAAGACUAUGACAAUUUGAAAGUUCUAGUGUUUCUAGUGAAUCCAACUUGAGAGGCGGAAAACUCCUGAGACUGCGACAGCUUGUAACAAUCAUGGUUUUAAGUUUUCGAAGAUACUCUUCCACCACAAGUGGAAAACUCUCAAGACUAUGACAAAAUGAAAGUUUUAGUGUUUCUAGUGAAUCCAACUUGAGAGGUGGAAAACUUCUGAGACUGCGACAGCUUGUAACAAUCAUGGUUUUAAGUUUUCGAAGAUACUCUUCCACCACAAGUGGAAAACUCUCAAGACUAUGACAAAAUGAAAGUUUUAGUGUUUCUAGUGAAUCCAACUUGAGAGGUGGAAUACUCCUUAGCUUGAUGCAAUGUCUAACACUCAUUAUUUUAAGCUUAUCACCAAAGUCAUCUAUCACAGGUGAAAAAUUCUCA